rfam:Hordeum vulgare subsp. vulgare, WGS project CAJW01000000 data, contig: morex_contig_93663
UGUAUACUCCCUUCGUCCGGAAAUACUUAUCGUAGGAAUUAAUGUAUCUAGAUGUAUUUUAGUUCUACAUACAUCCAGUUCCAUCCAUUUGUGCGACAAAUAAUUUCGGACGAAGGGAGUAUAAU